GGUCUGUUAGCUCAGUUGGUUCAGAGCGCUUCCUUCACACGGAAGAGGUCGAGAGUUCGAAUCUCCCACAGACCACCA
rnacentral:tRNA from 1 species